rnacentral:lncRNA from 1 species
ACUUGAAAUGUUCAUUUAUAUGAUUUGUGCUGUCUGAUUGUAGAUUGAUAUCGAAAUACCUAUUUCUUGCAGAUUUGUGAAUCAUGCAGCUGGUAUUGAUUGUUGAUGAGUUAAUUUCAUAUUAAGCUUCAAGAAAACUGAAUCAGAUAGUCUGUGGGACCAAAAGUUGCUUAGAUAUGAAUUUUGCAUUUCCAGUUGUAGUUAUUAAGUUGUCAGCAUCAUUCUAAUACUUGGUAUUUAAUCAGAUUGCAAUGAUGAUGUAUGAUGAUUGUCAGAGAGUUCAAGCGAAGUUUUAUAUCCAUGCAGUCUAAGCAACUGAUAAGUAGAGUACUGAAUGAGAACUUGGGACACUUUCCUUUCUGUGAAUUCUGGCUUCUGUUGGACUGUAUUAUCAUUUGGUAUU